rnacentral:rRNA from 1 species
UACAGAGGUGGCAAGCGUUGUUCGGAAUUACUGGGCGUAAAGGGCGCGUAGGCGGUCUUGUAAGUCUUGUGUGAAAUCCCUCGGCUUAACUGAGGAACUGCACGGGAUACUGCUUGACUUGAGUUCGGGAGAGGGAAGCGGAAUUCCGGGUGUAGCGGUGAAAUGCGUAGAUAUCGAGAGGAACACCUGCGGCGAAGGCGGGUUGCUGGGCCGACACUGACGCUGAUGCGCGAAAGCCAGGGGAGCGAACGGG